AAAAUUGGAAAAUAAUUGUCAAAGCCAUCCAACAUGCUACUAUUAUUUAUUCCCAAUUGGGAUAUAUUAUCUUAGUGCAUGUCUUCUGCUAAUAUUAUUACUUAUGUGUUUGCUAUAUAUAUAGAGAGAGAGAGGGGACGUUACCUCCAUAUAUACUCCAAAAUCAUAUUACAAGUGAUAUUCAUUUCUCGUAUAAAACAAUGUCUUUUGUUAUGCUCAAGAAUCUCUUACUAUCCCCUCUCCGUAAAUUCAUCCACAAAGAUUUCCAUGAGAUCUUCGAGAAAAUGACCCUCAUCGAUAAAUUAUUUUUUCUGAUUGUUCAUUUUAUUGAUAAGCAUAACUUUUGGCACCGGCUACCGGUGUUCUUUGGGCUACUUUAUCUUGGAGCACGGCGGACUCUUCACCAGCAAUAUAAUUUGAUCAACGUCGGUAGAACACCUACCGGCAUUCGAUCAAAUCCGGCAGAUUACCCUUAUAGAACUGCUGAUGGAAAAUUCAAUGACCCUUUUAAUGAAGGAGCAGGCAGUCAAUUUUCUUUCUUUGGCAGGAAUAUGAUGCCUGUUCAUCAGGAUAAUAAGUUAAAGAAGCCAGAUCCAAUGGUAGUAGCAACGAAGCUGCUAGCACGAAGAAAAUUCAUAGACACUGGAAAACAAUUUAACAUGAUAUCUGCCUCUUGGAUACAAUUUAUGGUUCAUGAUUGGAUCGAUCAUUUGGAAGACACUCAGCAGGUUGAGCUAAGGGCACCAAAAGAAGUUGCUAAUGAAUGUCCUCUCAAGUCCUUUAGGUUUAACAAGUCCAAGGAAACUCCUACAGAUUUUUAUGAAAUCAAAACCGGUCACUUGAACAGCCGUACUCCCUGGUGGGACGGAAGUGUAAUUUAUGGAAGUAACGAGGAUGUUUUGAAGAAAGUGAGGACAUUUAAAGACGGGAAACUGAAACUAUCAGAAAAUGGACUCAUCCAACAAGAUGAAAAUGGAAAAAUUAUUUCUGGUGAUGUUCGUAACACUUGGGCUGGACUUUUAACACUACAAGCUCUCUUUGUUCAAGAGCACAAUGCUGUUUGUGACACUUUGAAGAAAGAAUAUCCAGAAUUAGAGGAUGAAGAGUUGUAUCGUCAUGCAAGGCUAGUCACUUCAGCUGUCAUUGCAAAAGUUCACACAAUAGAUUGGACUGUUCAGCUUCUCAAAACCGAUACUAUGCUUGCUGGAAUGCGUGCCAAUUGGUAUGGAUUACUAGGAAAGAAAUUCAAGGAUACAUUUGGGCAUGUUGGUUCCAUUUUAAGUGGUGUUGUUGGAAUGAAAAAACCUGAGAAUCAUGGAGUGCCUUAUUCCCUAACUGAAGAAUUCGUGUGUGUUUAUAGAAUGCAUCAACUCUUACCUGAUACACUUCAGCUAAGAAAUAUAGAUGCCACGCCUGGACCAAACAAAUCUCUCCCUUUGACUAAUGAAAUUCCGAUGGAAGAAGUAGUUGGGAGUAAAGGAAAAGAGAAUUUAUCAAGAAUUGGUUUUACUAAGCAAAUGGUUUCAAUGGGGCAUCAAGCUAGUGGAGCUCUUGAGCUUUGGAAUUAUCCAGUGUGGAUGAGAGAUCUUAUUGCCCAAGAUGUUGAUGGAACUGAUAGGCCACAUCAUAUUGACCUUGCAGCCCUUGAAAUUUAUAGAGAUAGAGAAAGAAGUGUUCGUAGGUACAAUGACUUUCGAAGAGGAAUGCUACAAAUUCCUAUUUCGAAAUGGGAAGAUUUGACGGAUGAUGAAGAAGCAAUCAAAACACUUCGUGAAGUAUAUGAUGAUGAUAUUGAAGAGUUGGAUUUACUAGUGGGACUCAUGGCGGAGAAAAAGAUUAAAGGAUUUGCCAUUUCAGAAACUGCAUUUAACAUAUUCCUUCUCAUGGCAACAAGGAGAUUAGAGGCAGAUAGAUUUUUCACAAGCAAUUACAACGAGGAGACAUACACAAAGAAAGGAUUGGAAUGGGUGAAUACUACUGAAAGUUUGAAAGAUGUGUUAGAUCGUCAUUAUCCAGAAAUGACUGAAAAAUGGAUGAAUUCAAACAGUGCAUUUUCUGUUUGGGAUUCUUCUCCAGAACCUCACAAUCCUAUUCCACUCUAUUUUCGUGUUCCUCAGUAGUAGACCUCAAAAUCACGUGUGUAACUAUUUAUUAAUACCGUAAUACGUACAAGUUUGUAUUUAAGGUGUCUUGUUCUAUUUCAUCAAAAUAAUCUAUUGUUUCUUGGUUUGUGAAAA